GUCUGUUGGAAGUUGGACAUCCAUGACCUAGAUGAAUCAAAAGUCUGACUGUGUAAGAAGUACCCAUUUGCUACUGUAAAAGGUGUACCCACUGAAUACCUAUUUAAGCUGUAAUUAUCACUAACUGUAUUAUCUGUAUCUCAUUGCCAUUCAACUCCUACUUUAAAAUUUUCUCCUUUAUAUACCCUUUUUUAAAAAGCCAGAUCAUUAUGUCAUGCAUCUUCUUAUCUUCACACAUUUUAAAGCAAUUUGUUGUGAAAAACCUUAUCUUAAUUUGAGGUGGGUGGGGGAAAACCAGUAUACAAAAGAAGAACGGUACUGAGAUUGAACUCUGCUAAAAUGCUUUCUAAAUACUCCUCAAAAGAGGAGGGGAGUAGAUAACCUAAGCAGUGGUUUUGGAAACAGCAAGGUUUUUCUUUCUUCCUACCUGUUCUCUCUCUCGCCUUCUCACUCUUGCACUCUUCACAAUAUAUACAUAUACACAUUUGUCCACAGAUUACUAUUUCCACCCAGGUCUUCUGGAAGUGUGAUACUGAAGAGUAAGGACAGCAGGGAUAGGGCUUUAAGCCCUUUUCAGCAUCCUUUCCAGCUGUGCAAUAUCCUUUCAAUGAUGCAGUGACUAGAACUGUACACAGUAUUCCCCCUUUUCAGAGCUGCCUCAUACUGGUCAACAUCUUCAUCAAGUUAUCCACUAUGACACCAAGGUCUUAUUCCUGGUCACUCACUACCACUUCAGACCCCAGUAGCAUAUACUGUAUAUGAAGUAAGGAUCUUCUACCCCAGUGUGUAUCACUUUAUACUGAACCAGAAUUUGUUUGCUUAAUGCUCAUUCACCUAGUUUGGAGAGAUCCUUUUGGAGCUCCUCACAAUCCAUCCACCCUGAGCAACCUGGCAUCAUCACUUGGUCACUUCCCUGCUCACCCUUAAGUCCUGGUCAUUUAUGAAAAAGUUUAAACACAGGACUAAGGUGUUGCUGUAAUUCAGAGUCGACAGCAAAAGGCAGUUUCAUAUCGAAUUCUGCCAAAUCCUUCUCAUUUGGAACAGAUCACUAGCUCAAGAAUAUGGAAAACACAUUGAAAUGGAGAUAUAGAGUUUCUAGUAUACUUGCUGGGGGUGGGGAUGGAGGAUGAAGAUUGCAUAGUUUCAGAAACACUCUGACAAAAAGCAAACCUUUGCAAGCAUGUCAGGAACAGCCAGUCAAGAGACCCUGUUUUAAAGGGAGCAAACCUUCCCCUCACCUCCAGGUCAGCAAAAAGUUUAUUGGGAAUGAAAAGUGAAGCAACAAAACAAACAAAUCACUGCUUUGCUGUUGAGGCUAUUUCACUUUAGAGAGACAGGAUUAUGACCAGAGACUCCUUAAGUUAUCAGCCAGUACAAGAGUCAGUGUCAGAAACCCUAGCUGCUACAAGGUUAGAGGCUUAAGGGGCAAAAAUUAGAUACUGAUGUGCCACCCCAGCCCCUUUAAACUGCUUGGCUGCUUUCAAGUGUCCCUUCCUCAUUCAACUUCCUUCCAGAUUAUGGUGAUGACUAAUCAAAACUUCCAAAUUAUUUUAACUAUCUCCCCCCAAAGUCAGAAUCUUUUAUAUUUAUAUUUAUUUUAUUUUUUAAAGAUAACAGUGUUGUCUGUCUGCAGUGAGUUUAGAGAGAAAAUGUUCCAGGCUUGGAAGCCAAGGAAAGAGAAUGUCUCUGGAAGCUAAGUGAAUCUUUGCUGGCAUAGAACUGAAGCCUGAUGCUGAAUCUCAAAACUGGAAAAAUGCUUUGUGCAUUGCAUUUUGGGGAUGCAUCAAAAAGUUAUUCAGGAUCAGAGCUCAAUGACCUAGUCAAAAGAUUAUGGGUGACUCCAGAUGGCAGCUUCCCACACUUCUGGUUGCAUAAUGUAAUGUUAUACUCAAAGGAAAGGAAGCAAACAUCACAUGCAAAAGGUCUGGUGUGGUUGACCGGAUUUUGAUCCUAUCAACACCUGUCAUUUUGACUCUAUCACUUAUGGUGACCCCACUAAUUCUUUAGUCUAUCAUUUCAGAUACACAAAACAUAUAAGGCUCUUGUUAUUCUAAAGUUUUGUGGGUUUAUUUUAUUUUUUACAGCGGACAGCAUCCUAUAUGUACUCCUGCAAGGAAUGUGUUUGUAAAACCCACUUGAAAUCAAGAGAGCUGACCACCAGUAAGCCACACACUCCAUGUGAUUAUCGCCGCUCUAAUCACUAGUUCCCAUAAACUUGUAGAACCUAGCAUAGCGGAAAGAGCUACUGUUGUACCGAAACACUAAUGAUAUUUUCUCAAGGUGAAGUGCAUCCUUAAUCAUGUUCUUGCUAAUGCACUUUCUGUUUCCUCACCUGCGUUGCCAAAAGGGUUUCAGGUGUGCUGAAUCAAAGUGCUUGGAAUAAAAAAGACAAAGCCCAAAUUCAUGAAUAUUCCAAAUUUGGAAGUGCAAUGAAUGAGGAUCCGGAAUGAUAACUUCCUGUGGUCAUGUAUGUGUGUUUUCUCACAGAAGUGGGAGCACAAGAAACAGUUCCAGAAACUUAACAAUGAGGCAUGGGAGAACCUUAAUCAAACAUCACUUCUCCUGACUUCAUUCAGCAUGUAGCUGCUGGUGACUGGUCUCACUUCUGUCUGUAAUACAGACCGGCAAAGGAUCUAGAAGGACAUGAAAACAUUGGCCCAAUACAAAUAGUGAAAGCUAAAUAAUUCUUUUCUUUUUUAAAAAAAGAUCUGCUCAGAAAUGACCUAAUAUGGUUUCAGAAAACUCUUGCUGAUUAUUGCAAUUUCUUCAGGAAUUUUCACCCUUUAGAUUUAAAACUGACUUUGUACUAAGCUGGUUGCUAACAUUAAUGCAAAACCUACAUUGACCACUGUGUACAUUCAGUUUACCUCUAUAAUCUUUUCUAAAUAAAAUGGUAUCUGCUUAUGGCAAAAAAAAAAUUAAAAAAUUGAAUGUGCACUGUGGUGUUGCUUUUGGAACCCUAACAACAACAGAUCUAUUUUGAGUGCAUAUACACCAGUUAUGUACUACACAGAAUUAGAUUUGUAGUCAGGCUCUACCUUCAAGCUCAGUCUAAAGAUGCAACAUGAUACAAAAGGAGGAAGAGAUGAGAUCAGAAAGCCUGAGAUUUUUAUUUUAUUUUUCCACAAAAGCAAUUUUCGGAAAAUAAAACAACAGGAGGAACCAUGUGGCUGUUGGAUGGGGGAGUAUUCCAGGGCUGUAGAGCAGCCAACGAAAAUAAGUGUCGGUAUGGAAUGAGAGUAAAGUUUCUGGCAUGGAAAGGAUAGGCAAAGGGACCAAGGAGGAUUUAAAUUUAAGGCAAGGGAUAAGACAGGUUGAAUACUGCAAAAGAUUGAAGAGACACUCAGAGGACAGCAGCUGAAUGCUGCAAGAAAGGGAGAUGUGAUGGAAUGAAAUUGUAUUGUGCUUAGGGAAAGGGCAUAAAUUUGAUUCAGUUUGUAUUUAAAGGCAAAACCAUCUUAUUCACACUUUCUGAAACAAUGCACAAAGCAACAGUGCAUAUCCUAGGAUAAAGUGUGCAGAAAAAUGUACAUAUUAAUGAAAAUAACAUAGAAAGAUGAAUUCUAUUAGGGAAAAUUGGUUUGCAAAAAUGUGUAUAUUUGGCAAAAUUGCAUAGGAAAAAUGUGUAAUUAGGACAAAUUCUCACUCAAAUGCUGAUGAUUUUUCAUGAGGAUUUUUAAAGAAAGAAACUGUUGUGGAGAUGCGGAGAACUAAACUUAAGCCUGGAAAAAUGAGAAACUGAAAUUGAUAGAUUUGCCCAUCCCAAAUUGUGAUAUAGUGUUUUAUGCUUUUUUAAAAAUGUUGUAUGUAACUUUGGGUGAUGAUGGACUGGGGGAACUAAUGACUAACAAAUGUGAUUAAAGAGAUUAAAAUAAGAGGAGAUAAAUGGUUGAACAAAACAAAGGAGAAAUCAGGGGGAGGCACAGUUUAGUGCAGAAGAGAUGGAACAUAACACAGGACCAAUUCUGCUCUGUAUGUCAGGUGAAUUAAGCCAAGUCUGAUUUCAGAGUACACAAUCCUGUUUUCUUUCUGUCAGCAGCUGUGGGCAAGAGCUAUGAAAUAUGAGCCCUUAAACAGGAGAUUCAGGAUCCCAGAUAACAUUGAGAAUAUGAUUCCUACAGCAAGCCGUAAUUUCAUGAUACCCCUGUAUAUCCCAAAUGGAAUAAUCAUUCACAUUUUAUUUUUCAAUUUAUCUGAGUAAUGAGCAGCCAAUUUCAUCUCAUGGAGGCAGGAAAAACAAUCUAUUUUGGCUUUAAUCAUGGAAAAGCAAGAAAAAUAAUUGUGCAGUCAUAAAUCAUAGUAAGAAAGAUGGGCAAAAUGCUAAUUGUUUUAUAUCGCUUGCCUCCAUUCCUAUUGUCAGAAUAGGCCAAACUGAUUAAGCAUGUCACCCCUUGUUUAACAGUUGCGUUUGCCCAAGUGGAACCUACCACUGUCGGAAAGAAGGACCUGUGGCAGAUUGUGGGGAAGGCAAAAGCCAGAAAGGGGGAAAACACCUCUUUUUCAUAUUUACCAAAUUGUAAUGAAUUUUCAUUUAUGGUUUGCAACAAUGCCUCUAUCGUUUUCAUAAUAAUCAGCGUUAACGGUUUGAAGAAAAGCUAUUGAGUUCUAAUAAGAACACUAAAGGUACUAAUUAGGCACUUGACAGUGUUUUAAUAAUCUUUCAUAAUUUAUGGGACAGAGAGAGACUCACGAAAGCAUUGAUUGACUCCCCGGAGUUGUAGGUUUCCCGUGAGUGAUUCAAUAGACCUGUCCUGCCUACUGCUGGAACAAAUAAAUCAAGUGUAAACUAUUGCAUUUUUAAACAGAAUUAUGUAAAUAAGGCUGCUUAUGAGAAUGAAUGGUUAAGCAUUAGCUACCAUCUUGUUAGAAAUAAACCCAACAAAUUUCAAAGUGUGAGGUUGGCUUCCUUAGGGGACAUUCAGACCACCGCCAAGGAAAGCAUAAUUCCUUCCCUCUCCCCUUCCAUUACAGGCUGUUCAGAAAGCCAUGUAACAACCUAUCCACUCACUGCUCCUCCAUAUUAAUCCAAUGUAAAUAAAUAAAUAAAAUAAUUAUUAGUCCUAAAUAGAGGUGCCAGGAAUCCAGAACUUCCUCCCUUCAGUUCUAUUCUUCACUACCUUGGUUGGCCUCUGGGUGGAGCAUGGAUGAUGGCUUUGCAUGGGUUGGUUUCAACCAUGUAUCUACAAGCUUUUCAGUCCCAGGACCAACUUUUAACCCAAACAUGCAAUUGGGGAUGAAUUUCUUAAUCUUUUACCAUAUAUUUGCAUGGUGGUAGUGCUCCUGUUGCAACCCACCUUGGAUCAGACCAUAACCCACUAAAAAAAAGGUAAAGGACCCCUGACAGUUAAAUCCAGUCAUAAACGACUCUGGGGUUGCGGCGCUCAUCUCACGUUACUGGCUGAGGUAGCUGAUGUUUGUCCACAGUUUUUCCGGGUCAUGUGGCCAGCAUGACUAAGCCGCUUCUGGCGCAACCAGAACAGCGCACAGAAACGCUGUUUACCUUCCUGCCAGAGCGGUACCUAUAUAUCUACUUGCACUAGUGAGUCCCAACCCACCAGUUUAAGACCAGUGGCUUAGACAGCCUCCUGCCUCUGCUCCUGAUUGGGCUGGAUGUGGGAAUGGGCUUGGGGAGCAUUGGGGUGUUUGCCCUCCCAAGCUUCCAAGGGAACUUCCACACUGUUCAUGAAUUCCACCCUUAGUAGAAUGCUCCAGGUGGGGAUACUAUCCACUGUUUUAUAAAAAAUCUGUAUAGUCCACCUAUUAUAGUCUGUCUCAAGGCAGUGCACAAGUUAAGAUAACAUCUGAAUGAUAACAUCAGAUGGAGACAUCUGAAGGCAGCCCUGUUUAGGGAAGUUUUUAAUGUUUAAUGCUGUAUUGUGUUUUUAAUAUUCGGUUGGGAGCCACCCAGGGUGGCUGGGGAAACCUACCAGGGACACAUUAGGACAUUUUCAGCUUGUUGUUAUUCCAUGGAUGGACAGAAUUCUCUCUUGUUCCUGGGCAUGCUGGCCAUGAACCAUGGCCAGGAAAACCAGGACCUUCAGUGUGGAAAACUUUCAUGUUUGCUCAACUCCCAUCCUUCAUUGCCUGUUCCUUGUCUUACUCCAUCACAAGUAUACAUUGAUCUCAGCCCUAACCUAAAUGAAGAUGGAAACUAUCUUACUCUGAGUGCAGAAUGGAUGAAUGAAGUUGAUGCUGUGAUGUACAGAAGGAAUCCCAUAGGCCCCGUUUGAUGCACAUUGGAGCCUUGGAUGUACUUAUUUAGAAAGGAAGAC